rnacentral:misc_RNA from 1 species
GAUGAAGAACGUAGCGAAAUGCGAUAAGUAAUGUGAAUUGCAGAAUUCAGUGAAUCAUCGAAUCUUUGAACGCACAUUGCGCCCCCUGGUAUUCCGGGGGGCAUGCCUGUUCGAGCGUCAUUUCACCACUCAAGCCUCGCUUGGUAUUGGGCAACGCGGUCCGCCGCGUGCCUCAAAUCGACCGGCUGGGUCUUCUGUCCCCUAAGCGUUGUGGAAACUAUUCGCUAAAGGGUGUUCGGGAGGCUACGCCGUAAAACAACCCCAUUUCUAAGGUUGACCUCGGAUCAGGUAGGGAUAGCCGCUGAACUUAAGCAUAUCAAUAAGCGGAGGA